AAUCAUGAUACGGUAUAUUACCGUUAUGUUUACUUCGUAUUUGAUCUCUUACUCUUUCUGCAAAUAGUGCUGGUAACCCUGCUAAGAAUUUUUCUUUCCAAACACUAUUAUUGCUGUCUUCUCUUAUAAAUACUAAAGAGAAGAAGGUAUCUUUAUACCAUUUAAAAUGUGAUAGAUCCGGGCAUCGCAGAUUAAUUAACUGCUCCUGAGCUCUAUCGAUCAGCAUAUUUACUGAUCCGAUAAAGUGUAACCCUAUAGU
rnacentral:lncRNA from 1 species